rnacentral:rRNA from 1 species
CACCUACGGGUGGCUGCAGUGGGGAAUUUUGGACAAUGGGGGCAACCCUGAUCCAGCAAUGCCGCGUGUGUGAAGAAGGCCUUCGGGUUGUAAAGCACUUUUGUCCGGAAAGAAAGCGCCCUGGCUAAUACCUGGGGUGGAUGACGGUACCGGAAGAAUAAGCACCGGCUAACUACGUGCCAGCAGCCGCGGUAAUACGUAGGGUGCGAGCGUUAAUCGGAAUUACUGGGCGUAAAGCGUGCGCAGGCGGUUUUGUAAGACAGGCGUGAAAUCCCCGGGCUUAACCUGGGAAUUGCGCUUGUGACUGCAAGGCUAGAGUACGUCAGAGGGGGGUAGAAUUCCACGUGUAGCAGUGAAAUGCGUAGAGAUGUGGAGGAAUACCGAUGGCGAAGGCAGCCCCCUGGGACGUGACUGACGCUCAUGCACGAAAGCGUGGGGAGCAAACAGGAUUAGAUACCCUGGUAGUCCACGCCCUAAACGAUGUCAACUAGUUGUUGGGGAUUCAUUUUCUCAGUAACGUAGCUAACGCGUGAAGUGACC